rnacentral:RNase_P_RNA from 1 species
GUAGUCGGGUAAUCGCGCUUUUCGCAAGAUGAGUGAGGAAAGUCCGUGCAUCCCAGAACAGACCGCCGGAGAAACUCCGGGCGUCGUGAGGCGGCGGAUAGUGCCACAGAAAUGUAGACUGCCGAUGACUGAAAUUCUUGAAUAGAGUUACAGCACAGGCGAUGGUGCAACGGUGAGUUAAGAGCUUCACCGGCGAUAUCGGAAGGUAUCGGCCAGGUAAACCCCGGUCGGAUGCAAGAUUGAAUUGAAGGUUAAGAGGUUGUUCGCCCACUUCAGACAAAUCGCUAGAGCUUAGGAGUAAUCCUAUUCCCAGACAGAUGAUUACCUAAAACAGAACACGGCUUACAGACUGCUUU